rnacentral:rRNA from 1 species
UAGGGAAUCUUCCACAAUGGACGAAAGUCUGAUGGAGCACCGCCGCGUGAGUGAAGAAGGGUUUCGGCUCGUAAAACUCUGUUGUUAAAGAAGAACAUAUCUGAGAGUAACUGUUCAGGUAUUGACGGUAUUUAACCAGAAAGCCACGGCUAACUACGUGCCGG